AUUGAACGCUGGCGGCAGGCCUAACACAUGCAAGUCGAACGCGUGGCGGACGGGUGAAUAAUGUCUGGGAAACUGCCUGAUGGAGGGGGAUCACUACUGAAAACGGUAGAUAAUACCGCAUCCCAUCGGAUGUGCCCAGAGGGGUUUAGCUAGUAGGUGGGGUAAAGGCUCACCUAGGCGACUAUCCCUAGCUGGUCUGAGAGGAUGACCAGCCAAACUGGAAAUGAGACACGGUCCAGACUCCUACGGGAGGCAGCAGUGGGGAAUAUUGCACAAUGGGCGCAAGCCUGAUACAGCCAUGCCGCGUGUAUGAAGAAGGCCUUCGGGUUGUAAAGUACUUUCAGCGGGGAGGCGUUACCCGCAGAAGAAGCACCGGCUAACUCCGUGCCAGCAGCCGCGGUAAUAC
rnacentral:rRNA from 1 species